AGCGAACGUUAGCGGCGGGCUUAACACAUGCAAGUCGAACGAGAAUGAGGGGGCAACUCCUCUAGUAAAGUGGCGGACGGGUGCGUAACACGUAGGUAAUCUACCUUCCGGCGGGGGACAACAGUCCGAAAGGACUGCUAAUACCGCGUACGUCGGCGGAGUCUCCGGACUCUGUCGGGAAAGAUGGCCUCUCCAUGGAAGCUAUCACCGGAAGAUGAGCCUGCGGCCCAUCAGCUAGUUGGUGAGGUAAUGGCUCACCAAGGCUAAGACGGGUAGCUGGGCUGAGAGGAUGAUCAGCCACACUGGGAUGGCGGCACGGCCCAGACUCCUACGGGAGGCAGCAGUGGGGAAUAUUGGGCAAUGGGCGAAAGCCUGACCCAGCCACGCCGCGUGAGUGAUGAAGGCCUUCGGGUCGUAAAGCUCUGUGGGGAGGGACGAACAAACUGGGCGCUAAUCACCCCGGUCCUGACGGUACCUCCUUAGCAAGCACCGGCUAACCCUGUGCCAGCCGCCGCGGUAAAAC
rnacentral:rRNA from 1 species